UACGAGGGGGCGAGCGUUGUUCGGAAUUAUUGGCGUAAAGGGUGCGAUAGGCGGUUCCGCGAAGUCCUGUGUGAAAUCUUCGGGCUCCAACUCGAAGUACUGCACGGGAACUGCGGGCUUGAGUGUGGGAGAGGUGAGUGGAAUUCCCGGUGGUAGCGGUAGAAAUGCGUAGGAUAAUCGGGAGGAACACCUGUGGCGAAAGCGGCCACACGAUGCCUAACUGACGCUGAUGCACGAAAGCUGGGGGAGCAAACAGGAUUGAGAUACCCCGAG
rnacentral:rRNA from 1 species